CAGUAGCCGCGGUAAGACGGAGGAUGCAAGCGUUGUCCGGAAUGAUUGGGCGUAAAGCGUCUGUAGGUGGCUUUUCAAGUCCACCGUCAAAUCCCAGGGCUCAACCCUGGACAAGCGGUGGAAACUACCAAGCUGGAGUACGGUAGGGGCAGAUGGAAUUUCCGGUGUAGCAGUGAAAUGCGUAGAUAUCGGGAGGAACACCUGUGGCGAAAGCGGCUCACUGGACCAUUUCUGACGCUGAUGCACGAAAGCUAGGGGAGCAAACAGGAUUAGAUACCCCAGUAGUCCCUGUCUCUUAUAC
rnacentral:rRNA from 1 species